UAGGGAAUCUUCCGCAAUGGACGCAAGUCUGACGGAGCAACGCCGCGUGAGUGAAGAAGGAUUUCGGUUCGUAAAACUCUGUUGUUAGAGAAGAACAGCGCAUAGAGUAACUGUUAUGCGUGUGACGGUAUCUAACCAGAAAGCCACGGCUAACUACGUGCCAGCAGCCGCGGUAAUACGUAGGUGGCAAGCGUUGUCCGGAUUUAUUGGGCGUAAAGCGAGCGCAGGCGGUCAAUUAAGUCUGAUGUGAAAGCCCCCGGCUCAACCGGGGAGGGUCAUUGGAAACUGGUUGACUUGAGUGCAGAAGAGGAGAGUGGAAUUCCAUGUGUAUCGGUGAAAUGCGUAGAUAUAUGGAGGAACACCAGUGGCGAAGGCGACUCUCUGGUCUGUAACUGACGCUGAGGCUCGAAAGCGUGGGUAGCAAACAGG
rnacentral:rRNA from 1 species